UACGAAGGGGGCUAGCGUUGUUCGGAAUCACUGGGCGUAAAGCGCACGCAGGCGGAUUGAUAAGUCGGGGGUGAAAUCCCGGGGCUCAACCUCGGAAUUGCCUUCGAUACUGUCUGUCUUGAGUCCGGGAGAGGUGAGUGGAAUUCCUAGUGUAGAGGUGAAAUUCGUAGAUAUUAGGAAGAACACCAGUGGCGAAGGCGGCUCACUGGCCCGGUACUGACGCUCAUGUGCGAAAGCGUGGGGAGCAAACAGG
rnacentral:rRNA from 1 species